rnacentral:tRNA from 1 species
GAGGGUAUAGCUUAAGUGGUAGAGUGCAUGCUCAACACGCAUGAGGUCCUCGGUUCAAUCCCCAGUACCUCCU